UUUGUAUAAUUAAUAUGUAGGCAAAAAUGUUAAUUGCAAUGAAUUCCCAAGUGUAAGUAGUGUGCUACAUGAGUGGCAAGCUUUUCGCUAACACUCCAUUCUGUCCCAGUGAAUGCUGCUUGAUAGUAACCCUUGCUACGAGU
rnacentral:snoRNA from 1 species